rnacentral:rRNA from 1 species
GAUGAACGCUGGCGGCGUGCCUAAUACAUGCAAGUCGAGCGAACUGAUUAGAAGCUUGCUUCUAUGACGUUAGCGGCGGACGGGUGAGUAACACGUGGGCAACCUGCCUGUAAGACUGGGAUAACUUCGGGAAACCGAAGCUAAUACCGGAUAGGAUCUUCUCCUUCAUGGGAGAUGAUUGAAAGAUGGUUUCGGCUAUCACUUACAGCUGGGCCCGCGGUGCAUUAGCUAGUUGGUGAGGUAACGGCUCACCAAGGCAACGAUGCAUAGCCGACCUGAGAGGGUGAUCGGCCACACUGGGACGGAGACACGGCCCAGACUCCUACGGGAGGCAGCAGUAGGGAAUCUUCCGCAAUGGACGAAAGUCUGACGGAGCAACGCCGCGUGAGUGAUGAAGGCUUUCGGGUCGUAAAACUCUGUUGUUAGGGAAGAACAAGUACGAGAGAAACUGCUCGUACCUUGACGGUACCUAACCAGAAAGCCACGGCUAACUACGUGCCAGCAGCCGCGGUAACAC